UAGAGUUUGAUCAUGGCUCAGGAUUAACGCUGGCGGUAUGCCUAAUACAUGCAAGUCGAACGAACUUUUUAGAGUUUAGAUUUUAGAUAUUGGAAUCUAGUGAUUUAUUUACUAACUUCCAGCUUCUAACCUCUAAUAUCUAAAUCGUUAGUGGCGGACGGGUGAGUAACACGUUGGAACCUGCCCCAAAGUAAGGGAUAAGCCACCGAAAGGUGGUCUAAUACCUUAUAGUAUCCAUCUCGUAUGGAUUAAAGCUUUAUGCGCUUUGGGAGGGGCCUGCGUUUGAUUAGCUAGUUGGUGAGGUAAAAGCUCACCAAGGCGACGAUCAAUAGCUGGUUUGAGAGGAUGACCAGCCACACUGGGACUGAGAUACGGCCCAGACUCCUACGGGAGGCAGCAGUAAGGAAUCUUCCACAAUGGGGGCAACCCUGAUGGAGCAAUACCGCGUGCAGGAUGAAGCGUUUCGGCGUGUAAACUGCUUUUAUCACCGAAGAUUAUGACUGUAGGUGAAGAAUAAGGACACAGCGAACUACGUGCCAGCAGCCGCGGUAAUA
rnacentral:rRNA from 1 species